rnacentral:rRNA from 1 species
UCAAACUGGGUAUUUGAUACCCCACUAUGCCUAGCCGUAACACACAAUUAAACUACCAAUUGUUCGCCAAACAACUACGAGUCAUACUUAAAACUUAAAAGACUUGACGGUACUUCACCACGCCCUAGAGGAGCCUGUCUAAUAACCGACAACCCACGAUUAACCCAGCCCCUCCUUGCCCAACAGUCUAUAUACCGCCGUCGCCAGCCUACCUUGUAAAAGAAAUAAAGUAGGCUAAACAGUACCACACUAAAACGACAGGUCGAGGUGUAACUUAUGAAGGGGACUAAGAUGGGCUACAUUCUCCAACCGAGCAUACGGAUAACACUAUGAAAUUAGUCUUUAAAGGCGGAUUUAGCAGUAAGAUAAGAAUAAAACACCUAACUGAACAUAACGCAAUGAAGUGCGCACACACCGCCCGUCAUCCCUGCCACCACAACAAUAAACCUUAAUAAACCAAUUAAAUUAAACCAACCAGGGCAAGUCGUAACUGGUAAGG